GUAUCCCCGCAGGCUGGCUGUACCCGGUUUGGAGGCAAACCGGAUGUGACGUGUGCCAGUGGCGUACUCCCUGCCCCCAGAUAGGUACUUGUACGCCUAGGGAAAGACGCUGCUAGGUGCUGCUGCUAAAUCCCUGUGGUUUCUGCCAGCCACAUGCGGCCAUUGCCGGGUCACGUAGGUUCGUUCGCGUGGUCUUGUUACGCCUCGCUGGAUCGUGUACAGUCAUGCCGUCCUUGCGCGGCGUGAUUGUCGGUGAGUCAGGUUAAAUUCUUAAAUAGGUCGCGCCUGCGCCUAAUUGAGUCUAUAAAAGCCUGCACAUUCAGUUUUGCUAGCUACAAUGCAGUGCGGCUGGCGUGAGCUGUCUCCACGAUGCGCUUCGAGCGUGUCGAUUUCGCCGUUCUUUAUGUUGGCGUUAAGGACCUUGAAAGCAACAUGGAUCCACAAGAAAUGUGCGACAACAUCAAGGCCUUGAUUGUUCAACGAGACGGCCCCCGUCGUGCUGGUUUUCAAGGUGCUCCCUCGCUGCCUAGAAGAUGCUGAUGCGGAAUAGAAAAUGCAAAAACGUCGCUUGCUCAACCGCAAAUUGACGGCUACGCUGAAGCGCAUGCCGUGUCUGCGGAAUUUGAACCCCGAGGUAUGGACCCCCUUUUUCCAGCGGCAUGCCGUUACAUACCGUCAGGAACACGCUUGGCUUAUUUCUGACUCAGUAAAAAAUGUUUCACUUUUUCUCGCUUCUCGCUGCGGAAGAAAUGCGGACCGUUUGUCGUAGUUGUGUCUCCAUUACAGGGUGGCAUUACUGCGGUGAAUAAAACAAGUGUUGCCGUUCAUACUGUGCGCAUUUCACCCUUUGUUGGGCGAUCGGAAAAUAUUGGUCCCACAUUUCAGGGCUACUUCGCUAUUAUGUAGCGGUGAAGUGUAAUUUCUACCAUUGAACAUUCCUGUGUAGAUGUGUUUCUGAAUCACGUUAAGCACAUUUUUUCGUCCAUUUCUUGGUCAAACAACGCGAUAGAGCGAUUGCGCAGAUUGUUUACUUCCCUUUCUACAAUGUUUAGUUUAUUCUGUCGCCUUCCUUCAAACCACCACAGCGGCAAAUGGACUUUUUUUAUCGAAAUUCCGCGUUUUCAUAAUAGCUGAAUUUUGGUGCGGUUAGGUGUCUAAAUUUCUCGUACCCACAGCUACCAAAACAGUUGAUCAAAUUAUUAGCAUCGCGAACAAAUCGCAUUCCUACAUAUGCGAGCUGCUACAUAUGAGCCCUCAAGAAAUUUCAAGAAGCAUCUUUUUUCUAAGAACCCUUGCGAUAUUGGAAAGCCCUGAUUGAGGAUUCUCAUACAAAGCAUGCUCAGUAAGUAUAAUGAAAACAUGCACAAACAAUGUAUAAUGUACUGGGUACUCUGGCUGCUUCUAAUCACAUUACAGGUGACCACGAGUAGGUAGAAACUGGCCUUGAGGCUGUAUAGUGGGACGUAAUAUUCCCACUUUUCGCUAUUACUGAAUCGUAGUCAGCUUUGAGAUUUUACGUUAUGUAAAAAAUGCUUCAUAAAAAAAAGCACUUGUAAUGUCUCGGACACAAAGCGGCCUGUUCUCUGCUUGCGUCUAUGAAAGGGUUAAGAUGCACACACUAUUCAAAGGUCGCAUUGAGAACUGAGUUGCAGGCGCUACUAUGCUCCGCAAGCAGCAGGAUACUAAAAGGAGAAAUGAGCAACACCGUACUGCCUUCAUUUCUUCAAACCCUUCAACAAAGCUUGAA